UACGGAGGGGACUAGCGUUAAUCGGAAUACUGGGCGUAAAGCGCACGUAGGCGGAUGUGUCAGUCAGGGGUGAAAUCCCGGAGCUCAACUUCGGAACUGCCUUUGAUACAGCACGUCUUGAGUCCGAUAGAGGUGGGUGGAAUUCCUGGUGUAGCGGUGAAAUGCGCAGAUAUCAGGAGGAACACCAGCGGCGGAAGGCGGCGCUCUGGGCUGGAACUGACGCUGGAGGAGCGAAAGCGUGGGGAGCGAACAGG
rnacentral:rRNA from 1 species